CUUGAAUGCCUUUUUGUCUGUCAUAGCAUUGACAUUCUUUAGAGAUCAGCUUAGUCUUUUGCAGAAUGUCUCUUAAUUUGGAUUUGUAUGAUUAUUUCUUCUUGAUUGGAUUCAGGUUAAAUAUUUUUGGUAGAACUAUAUAGGUUAAUACAGUAGUUUGAUUAAUGAAGCUAGAAGACCUAUGGAAGAUUAUUCAAUUUUGCAUGACAGUAUCUAAUUUAGCACUUGCUUUUAUUAUCUAAUCUGUAAGCCCAAUAAGGAAUUGAGAGAAGAGAGAACUCAGUAGGACCUGGAAGAACUAGGGCAGACUUUGGGAGGAAGACGGGAUUCAGAGAUGGACAGAAUUGGAGGCAGUUGGAAUAUGGUUAGAUAAGCCACUGUUUGGGCUUCCCAUCCCACUGUUAGGGCUAUACUAUAUCAAGAAAAGUGAAUUUCCUCUUCAGAGUUUAGAGCUCUGUAUCUUCCAUGGUGAUUAUACUACUUUAGAAAGCCUGAUAAUUUACAACUCUUGCUUUGCCUUCAGACAGGCCUAGAGACUGUACCCAACAUUUUGCCAGCUGCCUAACCUUGCGGAAGUUUCCUCACUUGCAAGCUAGAAAGGGUGUUAAUAAAUCUACAAAAGGUUAUUGUGAUGCUCAUAGUGAAAUAUUGUAUAAAUAUUUAAAUUGCAAUAUUUGAAUGCCUUUAUGUGGGGGCAGAAACUCCCUAGUUCUGCCAUAUGCCCACUGGAGCAUUUAUUUCUAUUACCUGCCUAACCCCUGAAGGGGUUUGAAUUUAUCACUGCUGGAUAACUGAGGGCAUGGAAAUGAGAAAGGGCUUGGCUCAUACAGAGAGAAGUGGGAAGACUGGCUUGAUUAGUUCAGAGUGUACACUGUGGACUAGUGGGAAAUAAAGUUGAAUAAAUGACUUGAGGCCAUAUAAUGGAGGACUUGGAAAGUUAAGCCAAAGAAUUCUGAUAUGAUGCUUUAGGCUGAAGAAAACCCUGAAAGAUUUUGAGCAGGAGAGACACACUUGGAAAUGAGAGUGGUAUGGAGCCUCCUGAGGAAGGACCUUUCCUGGUUUGGAGACUGGAAUCCUAAUAGGGCAGGGCCUUCCCACUGCUGACCAAAGGAGGGUGUGGUUUGGCAGUCUUGCCACAAGAGGCCAGAAUUUCUGCCCCAGUGACUCUUCCUGUUUUGCCACUGACUCACCCCAUUGACCUGUGCUGCGUGGCUUCCCUUCCAGUUGCUGUCUGAUCUACAGAACACUGGGGCUGCCCAAGAUGAUGUGAGAUGAUGUGAGGCAACAGUGGGUGGGAUGGGGGAAUGAACAAGCAUUCCUGUCCCUUUGCCCCUUCCCUGGGUAGAGGCUAAUUCUAAGCUAGACUGCCAGGGAUCGCUUUGUCCGAGCCUGAGGAAGCUGUCCACCAGGAGAGAACCACUAAAAGAAUGCCUGCUGAGGGCCGGCUGGGUAGCACAGCCGUUAAGGGCGCAUGUUCCACUUCGGUGGCCCGGGGUUGGCCGGUUCAGAUCCUGGGUGCGGACAUGGCAUCACUUGGUACGCUAUGCUGUGGUAGGUGUCCCACAUAUAAAGUAGAGGAAGAUGGGCAUGGAUGUUAGCUCAGGGCCAGUCUUCCUCAGCAAAAAGAGGAGGAUUGGCAGGAGUUAGCUCAGGGUUAAUCUUCCUCAAAAAAAGGAAGGAAGGAAGGAAGGAAGGAAGAAUGCCUGCUUACUUGAAUGAGAAAAUGCAGCAUUCUUUCUUUGAUCAUUAAUUUGUCAUUCAUAAUACUAGAUAAAGUUAACUUGCUUGGAGAGUAUGCCAGCUUUUUUUUGCCAUUAUUAUAUAAAAUCAAAAUUUCGGAGAGGAUGGAAGGAGAAAGUAGGGGGGUCACUGAUAUGAAGCCCUGUUUGCUAAAAUGACCUUUGGAAAUUAAAGGAAAAGGAAACAAGUUACCCUCAAUUUUCCACUUAUAAAAUAGGGAUGAUGGCACCUUCUCCUUCUGCCCUACAGAAACUGAAUGGCCUGAAAAUCCAUGGCCUGGAUCUUCAGAAGGGUAGGGUCUAGAGGGGAGAAUCAACCUUCCUUUCCCACAAAGGUCAGGGCUCUAGCUCUUAGCAGUUGGCUGGACAUGCUGGAAAUGUUCGGCUGCUUCCUAGUGAAUCUCCUCUCUACAAGCUAAAGGGAAGGAGAGACACCUUGUGUGUGUGUGUGUGUUUAGCAGCAGACAUAGUGGGGCUUGCUUUGAUUUCAUAUCAUCAUUGUAGUGUGUGAGUGGGAGCUAUAUUGCUUGUCAAAGUCUCUGAAGAACAUUAGGAACUAGAUCUGUUUCCCAUUAGUUGAAAUUAAAGAGACAAGGACGAUGAAGAACAGCACCUAGGAAACCCUUUAGGGUAGUGUCCCAACUCAGAAGUAGAGGGAUGUCUUUUGACUUCAUUUGAAUGUUUUGGGCUUUUUUCUUCAAUAUUAUAUACUAGACCUAUACGACAUAUAAAUUUAUUUAAAGAUGAGCCGCACUGUCUAAUAUAGCCACACUCUAGUCAAUUAGACAAUUAUUUUCCAUUAAGAAACUUUUCUUUAGGUGUUAAAUGUGAAUUACUGUUUUAUUUAGACCCAGGUAGCAAAUAUUUUAAGCUUUGCAGGCCAUAUAAUCUCAACUACUCACCUCUGCCAUUAGUAAACAAAAUGCAGGCCAUAGUUUGUUGACCACCACAUAGCAGGAAAUACAUUAGGUAGUCAGAAGGUCUAGUAUUGAUGGGAAGUCGUUCAAAAACUUAGCUUUGACAUUUGCUACUUACUAGCUGUGUCACCUUAGCCUCUCUGAGUCCUCAUGUUUAAAAUCAAAGUGGUAAUACUUUCCAUAAAAAAAUAAGAAUGACCAAUUACAUAUAUGGAUAGAUGUUUAACUUUUCUGGAAGUCAGGAUAACAUAAAUUAAAACAAUAAUAUAUUGUUUUCUAUCCUUUAUGUUGGCAAAAUAAAAAAAUAAUAUCUAUUGUUGGAAGGGUGUAGAAACAGGAAUUUUUAUGUUCUGUUGGUGGGACUAUAAAUUGGUAUACCUUUUUGGAUGGUAAUUUGGGAGCACCUAUCAACGUUUAACGUGCACAACUUUAGCAAUUCCAAUUGUUGGUAUAUAUCCUAAAGAAAUACUAGUUUGUAUGUAAGAAGAGGUGUGUACCAGUAUUAUUGAUGCAGCAGUCUUUGUCAUGACAGAAAACACUGAACAACCUAAAUGUCCAGACAUAGCAAAAUGGGAAAAUAAAGUUGUGGCACAACCUCACUGUGGCAUUUUUUCUCAAGCUUUUAAAAGUAUGAGGAAUCUAUUAUAUACUGAUGUGGAAACUUAUCAUAGAAGUUUUUAAGUAAAAGUAAGUUGCAGAAAACUUAUAGUGUGAUUACAAGUGUGUAGACCAAAUGCACACAAAAACUCUUUAUCUACCUACACACGUAUAUACAUAUAUAUGUGUAUCUACACAUAUAUGUGUAUCUCUAUACAUACUUGUAUAUAUACAUAUAGAUGUGUGCAUGCUUGGGAGAAGUCUGAAAGGUUAUAUAACAAACUUAAGAUAGUGGUCACCUCUGAGGAGGGGAGUGCCUUUGGCAAAUGUGGGUUAAGGUUUGGUGAAUGGAGAGUUUUGCAUUUUACUCUAUAUACUUCUAUGUUAUAUUAUUUUAUAGCAGUAAUGUAUUCUUUCUCCUGACCACUUGUUUGGAUAGCUGGUGGGCCUAUCUGCACUUGCCAGGGCUGUGACAGAGUAGGGCUAAUUCCCCAAGCCAGCUUGGCCCACAUCACUUCAGUUGGAAUCAGCUGCUGAGCCAGAGCAAGGAGC
rnacentral:lncRNA from 1 species